rfam:Bartonella apis strain PEB0149 NODE_1_len_1448678_cov_97_6187_ID_1.8, whole genome shotgun sequence.
UUUCGGCUGUCCAAAAGUCGGAAUUACUGAAGAGGCACACCUCAUUGCCUUCCGUGCGGAUGCGGUUUUCGUUAUUCCAAUCAAAAGGCAGACAAAGCGGAGCAAUGCGUUAGCGCGCUGUUCCAUCGCCGCAAGUUUUAUCUAGUUUU